rnacentral:rRNA from 1 species
AUGUGUUGUUGGGUAGGGGAGCGUUCUGUAAGCCUGCGAAGGUGACCUGUGAGGGUUGCUGGAGGUAUCAGAAGUGCGAAUGCUGACAUAAGUAACGAUAAAGCGGGUGAAAAGCCCGCUCGCCGGAAGACCAAGGGUUCCUGUCCAACGUUAAUCGGGGCAGGGUGAGUCGACCCCUAAGGCGAGGCCGAAAGGCGUAGUCGAUGGGAAACAGGUUAAUAUUCCUGUACUUGGUGUUACUGCGAAGGGGGGACGGAGAAGGCUAUGUUAGCCGGGCGACGGUUGUCCCGGUUUAAGCAUGUAGGCUGGUUAUCCAGGCAAAUCCGGAUAAUCAAGGCUGAGGUGUGAUGACGAGGCACUACGGUGCUGAAGUAACAAAUGCCCUGCUUCCAGGAAAAGCCUCUAAGCAUCAGGUAACA